AAUACGACUCCGAGCGAAAUCCGCUAAGGCUGUGAUAGGCACAAGGCUAUGCGGAUGAGCCAGGGUCCCGGGGGAAACGCCGGGGCCUUCCGUGAUUGAAAAGGGGCGAAAU
rnacentral:ncRNA from 1 species